GACGAACGCUGGCGGCGUGCUUAACACAUGCAAGUCGAACGGAAAGGCCCUGCUCUUGUGGGGUGCUCGAGUGGCGAACGGGUGAGUAACACGUGUGUAACCUGCCCUUGACUUUGGGAUAACUUCAGGAAACUGGGGCUAAUACCGGAUAGGAGCUCCUGCUGCAUGGUGGGGGUUGGAAAGUUUCGGCGGUUGGGGAUGGACUCGCGGCUUAUCAGCUUGUUGGUGGGGAAGUGGCUUACCAAGGCUUUGACGGGUAGCCGGCCUGAGAGGGUGACCGGCGACAUUGGGACUAAGAUAAGACCAAGACUACUACGGGGGGCAGCGGGGGGGAAUAUAACAGAAUGGGCGGAAGCGAGAUGCAAAAACCCCGCGUGCGGGAUAACGGCCUUCGGGUUAUAAACCGCUUUCGCCUGGAACGAAGCGUGAGUGACGGUAAUGGGUAAGGAAGCCACGGCUAACUACGUG
rnacentral:rRNA from 1 species